GGUGGAGCGAUUUGUCUGGUUAAUUCCGAUAACGAACGAGACUCUAGCCUGCUAAAUAGUUCGCCGAUUGUCUAAUCUGUCGGCGUUAACUUCUUAGAGGGACAAGUGGCGUUUAGUCACACGAGAUUGAGCAAUAACAGGUCUGUGAUGCCCUUAGAUGUCCGGGGCUACACGCGUGCUACACUGGAAGAAUCAGCGUGUUUUUCCAUUGCCGAAAGGUAUUGGUAAACCGUUGAAACUCUUUCGUGUCCGGGAUAGGGAAUUGAAAUUAUUUCCCUUAAACGAGGAAUUCCUAGUAAGUGUGAGUCAUUAGCUCACGUUGAAUACGUCCCUGCCCUUUGUAC
rnacentral:rRNA from 1 species